rnacentral:lncRNA from 1 species
GAACCCCAGGUCUAUCAGGAAAGUGAAGAGCUGGACACAUUGGAUGUCACUGUGGACAGAAAGAGACACAGAGCUCCCAGCUGGUUACUGUGAGCCAUACAAGUUCCAGCUCUGGGCUGGAGAUGACAAGUCCAGUGGGACAGCUGGAGUCCAGGAAAUCUUGGAAGACCAGGUACGGAUGGAUUUUUCAGGGCCGGUGGUUUUGAAUCCAUUCUCGUGCAUUUCUUUAGGUGGUGAUUCAGGUUGGCUUUGGGAUUUGUUUCUGUGCCCAUGCUUUCUAAAUCAGGACCACUG